GGAAAGACCCCGUGGAGCUUUACUGUAGCCUGAUAUUGAAAUUCGGCACAGCUUGUACAGGAUAGGUAGGAGCCUUUGAAACGUGAGCGCUAGCUUACGUGGAGGCGCUGGUGGGAUACUACCCUAGCUGUGUUGGCUUUCUAACCCGCACCACUUAUCGUGGUGGGAGACAGUGUCAGGCGGGCAGUUUGACUGGGGCGGUCGCCUCCUAAAAGGUAACGGAGGCGCUCAAAGGUUCCCUCAGAAUGGUUGGAAAUCAUUCAUAGAGUGUAAAGGCAUAAGGGAGCUUGACUGCGAGACCUACAAGUCGAGCAGGGUCGAAAGACGGACUUAGUGAUCCGGUGGUUCCGCAUGGAA
rnacentral:rRNA from 1 species